GUUGUGCCCUUGAGGCGUGGCUUCCGGAGCUAACGCGUUAAGUCGACCGCCUGGGGAGUACGGCCGCAAGGUUAAAACUCAAAUGAAUUGACGGGGGCCCGCACAAGCGGUGGAGCAUGUGGUUUAAUUCGAUGCAACGCGAAGAACCUUACCUGGUCUUGACAUCCACGGAAGUUUUCAGAGAUGAGAAUGUGCCUUCGGGAACCGUGAGACAGGUGCUGCAUGGCUGUCGUCAGCUCGUGUUGUGAAAUGUUGGGUUAAGUCCCGCAACGAGCGCAACCCUUAUCCUUUGUUGCCAGCGGUCCGGCCGGGAACUCAAAGGAGACUGCCAGUGAUAAACUGGAGGAAGGUGGGGAUGACGUCAAGUCAUCAUGGCCCUUACGACCAGGGCUACACACGUGCUACAAUGGCGCAUACAAAGAGAAGCGACCUCGCGAGAGCAAGCGGACCUCAUAAAGUGCGUCGUAGUCCGGAUUGGAGUCUGCAACUCGACUCCAUGAAGUCGGAAUCGCUAGUAAUCGUGGAUCAGAAUGCCACGGUGAAUACGUUCCCGGGCCUUGUACACACCGCCCGUCACACCAUGGGAGUGGGUUGCAAAAGAAGUAGGUAGCUUAACCUUCGGGAGGGCGCUUACCACUUUGUGAUUCAUGACUGGGGUGAAGUCGUAACAAGGUAACCGUAGGGGAACCUGCGGUUG
rnacentral:rRNA from 1 species